rnacentral:rRNA from 1 species
UACGUAGGGGGCAAGCGUUGUCCGGAUUUAUUGGGCGUAAAGAGCGUGUAGGCGGCCAUGCAGGUCCGUUGUGAAAACUGGAGGCUUAACCUCCAGACGUCGAUGGAAACCGUAUGGCUAGAGUCCGGAAGAGGAGAGUGGAAUUCCUGGUGUAGCGGUGAAAUGCGCAGAUAUCAGGAAGAACACCCGUGGCGAAGGCGGCCUUCUGGACAGCGACUGACGCUGAGACGCGAAAGCGUGGGGAGCAAACAGG